AAUGAACGCCAUACUAAUUUCCAAAUUGUACACAAGAAACUAAAAUUAAAAUAAUACAAGACUAACAAAGGCCAGAGGCUCCUGACUUGGGACAGGCGCAAAAAUGCAGCGGGGUUAAACAUGUUUGUGAGAUCUCAACCCUCCCCAUAUACCUCUAACCAAUGUAGAAAAGUAAACGCAUAACAAUACGCACAUUAAAAUUCAGUUCAAGAGAAGUCCGAGUCUGAUGUCAGAAGAUGUAACAAAAGAAAAUAAACAAAAUGACAAUAAUACAUAAAUAACAACAGACUACUAGCAGUUAACUGACAUGCCAGCUCCAGACUUCAAUUAAACUGACUGAAAGAUUAUGAUUUCAUCAUAUGAACAUCAGG
rnacentral:lncRNA from 1 species